rnacentral:misc_RNA from 1 species
GGCUGGUCAAGUUACUAUGGCAGAUCUGGCAGCGGGAUUGCAUGCAGUGAAUCGUGCUGUUAAUACUAUAGCUGAGUAACUUACAACUCAACCACAACAACCAGUGGUUGGCUCUAUUUCAGCACCAGCUCAGGAUAGGGCUCGAUUCCUUGACUCUACAGAUUUUCUCAAGCUAAGACCAAAGGAGUUCACUGGAGAGGACGCAUUAGCUGAUCCCUUAGAUUUU